CCACGGAGGGUGCAAGCGUUAUUCGGAAUCACUGGGCGUAAAGGACGCGUAGGCGGGUUGGCAAGUCAGAUGUGAAAUCCUACAGCUUAACUGUAGAACUGCAUUUGAAACUGCUAACCUAGAGUAUGGGAGGGGGAGAUGGAAUUAGUGGUGUAGGGGUAAAAUCCGUAGAUGUCACUAGGAAUACCGAAAGCGAAGGCGAUCUCCUGGAACAUAACUGACGCUAAGGCGUGAAAGCGUGGGGAGCAAACAGGAUUAGAAACCCGAGUAGUCC
rnacentral:rRNA from 1 species